UCCGAGAUAGCUUAUUUAAAGCUUUGAUUUUGUAAUUCAAGGAAAGGGUUAUCCUUCCCGGAA
rnacentral:tRNA from 1 species